ACCGAUUUAUAACGAUGUGGUCACUUGUAUAAUAAAAACAGUCUUAAUCACUUGUGAGCCAUUUUUGUUUCUGGCCAUAGCUAAAUGAUACAUGGUAUCAAAUUACACACUUAUUCAAACAACAAUUACAAUAAUUAACCAUACAAUAGAAUCUUCAGAGACCUAAUUGACGGAAGUCUGAAGGAGGAAUCAAUAAUAGUUAUCCAGCUCUCUUGCAGACCCUCAACAGGGUAAUCUGAUUUGGGGGUGGCAUCAUCCAAAUCUUAUGCCUGUGCUUCUAUUGGUGUCUCUGUGGGUGCUUUCGCUAAAUUUCUCUUACUUAACAAACCGCUGACCCAGAAAAUUUAAAAAAAAAAAAACAUUAGUCCUUCCGCACAUUAAAUUCAUAUAAUUUUUACAAAAAUGAAAAUGAGAAAAUGCAAAUUACCUAAAUUUAUUUUUGGCCCAAUCGAAUAAUGAGCCGGUGGCGGGGGCGGGGGCUGGAGAGCCCAUUGGCGCAUCGGAGGGACUUGGGGCUGCUACUGCUGCUGACGCUGCGUGUGCAUUGAUUAAAAGCACCGCCACUAGUGCUAUUGCCAAAGCAAUUCUUGGGUUUGCCAUCUUUGAAUUCUUGCAAUUGCUUAAAAUUAUUUGAAGAAUGAUACAAAUUAAAUGGUGAUCGUAUUGGUGUUGUAUUUUUUAUAGUGCUUGAGACGAAGCUAUAUUGGAUGCAAAUUGAGAAUUAUU
rnacentral:lncRNA from 1 species